AAAAAAUGUAUUAGGCUAUACAUAUAACUGUUACUGUUAUUAGCUUAUAACAACAGGAGGACAUAUGAAAGUGUGAGCCACCGCGCCCGGCCUAUGUUUUUCUUUAGAGACAGCCUUUGAGUUGGUGAUAAGCUUAUGCACUGAAGAUGCCUUGACCAGCAAAACCUGUGUCAUGAGAGGCAGAGUCCCACUUUUCUGUAUAUUAUGC
ensembl:lncRNA ITCH-IT1 ITCH intronic transcript 1